rnacentral:rRNA from 1 species
UCCGACACACAGACGCUGUAUGGUGAAUGGCUUGGCUUGGUAUGGCGAAGAAGGGCGCGGUAAGCUGCGAUAAGCUCCGGGGAGGCGCAAGCAUCCUUCGAUCCGGAGAUUCCCGAAUGGAGUCCAAUCUAAGGGGACUGCCGCAAGGCAUCCCUUUGUUCCGCAAGGAACGCAAACCCUGGGGAAGGAAACAUCUGAGUACCAGGAGGAAGAGAAAUCAACUGAGAUCCCGUCAGUAGGGGCGACCCAACGCGGGAGAGUCCAAACCGAAUCCUGACCCGAAAGGGCUGGGAGAUGUGGGGUUCGCCUUAGCAUAUGCAACCCUGAAUUCGUGCGGUCGAACUUGCCUGGAAAGGCAGACAAUACAAGGUGAUAGUCCUGUAGACUGUUCGAAGACGAGGUUGUGCGAAAGGCAGAGUACCUGGCUUUGGCAGUGGCUAGGGAAGACGGGGGAAAGCAGCCCCCAAGACUAAACACAAACCAAGACCGAUAGAGCACUAGUACCGCGAGGGAAAGCUGAAAAGUACCCCGAAAGGGGUGUGCAAAGAGCCUGAAACCAUCCAGCUACAGACGUUCAGGGCAUGAAAGAGGUAUGAUUCCACCGAUACCACCCGCAAGGGAGGUAAAGGUGGGUUAAGUGCCUCAGUGUCCUGAUUUCCGUCUAGAAACACGGGCCGGGGAGUUAUUUGUCAUGGCGAGCCUAAGGGUUCAAAGCCCGGAGGCGAAGCGAAAGCGAUUCUGCGUAACCCGCAAGGGUGUGGCAGGAGGUCUGAAAGGGCCUUAAAGUCAUGGCGGAUUAGACUAGAAACCGAUUGAUCGUGGCCAGAACAAGUUGAAGCCGGGCGAAAGCCUGGUCGAGGACUGCAAGGGUCUUAACGUGCAAUUUAGUCCCCUGAUUCUGGCCAAGGGGCCAAAAGCCUAUCUAAAUCGGUGAUUGCUAGUUCCCAUCGAAGCGGAUCCCAGUCCUGUCUCCAACGAUAUUGUUGACGUUGUAGAGCACCAACGAGAAAACAAGGAUUCGAAAGGAUCCACUUUCUUCUUGAACUCCGAAUGUGUCAACGUAGUAGACUUGGGGAGGCGGGUUUAUGUGGGGUAAGCCUCAUAACCGAGAGGGGGUUAACCCAGACUAGAGUUAAGGUCCCCAAAUUUUGGCUAAGUGUCAAGCAAAAGGGAGUCUUCGACCUAAAACAGCAGGGAGGUAAGCUUAGAAGCAGCUAUCCUUCAAAGAAAGCGUAACAGCUCACCUGCCGAGGUUGAGGGCCCCGAAAAUGGACGGGGCUAAAGCCAAGUACCGAUACUCUGGACUGCGUCCUUGUGGGACGUAUGUGGUAGAUGGGCGUGGUGAUUGGAUAGAAGCUGGGUCGUGAGAUCCAGUGGACCGAUCUCCAGUGCAGAUCCCGGUAGUAGUAGCAGCGUAGUCGGGUGAGAAUCCUGACCGCCGUAAGGACACGGUUUUCCUGGCAAUGCGUCAUCAGCCAGGAGUUAGCCGAUCCUAAGAUCAAACUCAACAGUAUUGGUCGAAUGAGGGAAUGCGGUUAAUAUUCCGCAGCCUUUAGUAUUCCGAAAGUUCGCAAGAAAACAUCACCUCUGAUGCUUCGAGACCAGCCUUACAGAGUUAUUCGCUCUGUUUAAUCAUCCAAGGGGGAGGGAGUGUCGUAAUGACGAGAACUCCUCCGAGGGGAGAAUAGCGGCCCGUUGGGGUCGUUAGGCCUAUUCCCGGAGACAGUGAAAACAGAGGAGGAUAGGGAUAUUGAAGAUCGUACCUAGAUCCGACACCAGUGAUCCUAGGUGAGAAGCCUAAGGCGUGUCGGGGAACUGUAGGUAAGGGAACUCGGCAAAUUAGCCACGUAAGUUAGCGAUAAGUGGUGCCUGCGUUCUUAGUGUAGAACUGGGAUCGCAGGUUGCAAUAACGAGGGGGUCCCGACUGUUUAAUAAAAACACAGUAAACUGCAAGCCCGAAAGGGUGUGUACAGUUUAUGAAUCCUGGCCAGUGCAGGUACCUAAAACCUGGGUUCAACUGGGCUAAGGGCCUGUAAACGCCGGGAGUAACUCUGACUCUCAGCAAAACAGUUCGAGGAAAAAAGGGAGUCGCUAAAUCUGGCCAUAUGCUGGAACAUCUGAGUAUGCCAGGCUAGUCCCCAACUGGGGACUGACAAAGCCAUGGCUGCAGACAAUCAGCAGGAAAGGCCGGGCGAGUCGCAGGACUUGUCCCGGAAUCCUCAGAGACUGAACGCCAGAGGUCGCAUUCGCUGCGACCAUGUUACAGUCCGAACACUGCAGCGAUGCAGUGAGGCUCAGGUGAAGGAAGGAGAGCCCGCCUUGGUCGCAAGAUCGAGGUCCAAGGAAGCAACAGAUUGCUUAAGGUAGCCAAAUGCCUUGUCGGGUGAGUUCCGACGUGCAUGAAUGGACCAACGAGGGCCCCGCUGUCCCUAUCUACGACCCGGCGAACCUACGUAAGCUGGACGAACAGUCCAGCAACUUCCAUCGGGGAGAGAAGUCCCUGUGGAGCUUUACUGCAGCUUGUUGCUGCGAUUCGGUUGCGGUUGCAGAGUGUAACGGGUAGACUUCGAAGCGUCGGCUCCGGCUGACGUGGAGUCAACAAUGUAACACCCGUCCCUCGCGACUGUAUCGCUAACUCCUACGGGAGGACACCGGCAGGUGGGCAGUUCGGCUGGGGCGGCACCCCCUUGAAAAGAUAUCGAGGGGGCCCAAAGGUCGACUCAACUGGGUCAGAACUCCAGUGUUGACGGCAAGGCGAAAAGUCGGCCUGACAGGGAACUUAAACGCAGAGUUCUCUGCCACGAAAGUGUGGCCUAGCGAUCAUUAGAGUCCCCACUGUUGGGGGCCUGAUGUGACAGAAAAGUUACCCCAGGGGUAACAGGCUCGUCGCGGGCGAGAGCUCCAAUCGACCCCGCGGUUUGGUACCUUAGCGCAUUGUGCGCUCGGGGUAGAACCGCAGUAAUGUCGGUUCGUAGCAUUGGCUUAUAACGGCGAACCCCUCCUCCUCUGAGAACACUGAGGAAAGGGGAGAGGGCAACGCCGUGGGAAGUCUAUGGGUAAAGUAAGCGAGCAAUUGGUUGCCUUAGCGGGCAACUGCAGAAGGAAAAACAGCCAAGAGUUCGCUCCACAAAGGGCACUUCUAUCGGAUGGAAGGACAGACAGGGUGAUUAAUCAUCUUCCGGCAGCGGCAUUCGCUCCGGAGGUGGUGUUAUGCUAUCUUCGGGCGGAUGCUUGCAAAGCGGGCGCAACUAGGCGCUUGCCGUCCUGCCAUAGGGCGGGCCGGUGACGUCCUGGUUGUGGUUUGUCCAUCACAGGUAGAACGAUCUUCCC